AACAGUUUAAAGUAUAACAGUAUCAAACCUCAAGACUAUAUGCCUUUGCAACUAGGCUGAUGCAGUAUAAUUUCUACAUAUUAUAUCACAGGAAAAUCAGUUUUAGUGAGAGAAAAAAAAAGUAAGAUAUCAAUAGGAAGGUAGAAAGAAACACAGGAGGAGGGAGGGAACGAUAGACAGAGGAAAAGACUGUUUUGGCUGAGCAGUUGUCUCACAUGAAGAGCAGCAUGCUGUGACCAUAUGCUAGUCCAGGUGGACUUGGUAUCCAGGCAACUGUAUCAAAGCAGUGGGGGCAUUUGUGACUGAAUCCAGAGGACUUUUCAAACAGAGGAGUCAGGGAGAACAAUGCAGCUAUCAUCUGUCAGCAGCAUGAGUCAUCUCACAGAGGGCUCCUGUGUGCAGCAGGGGUGUGCCAACAGGAAAUGAGCCCAAGGUCAGAAAGCCACAUGGAAACCUUCCUGAAAAGGACUCUUGUAACCCAACAGAGAGACACUGAUCCCUAAGCACAGCAUCUGCUGACAAGCCAG